GAUGAAGAACGUAGCAAAAUGCGAUAAGUAAUGUGAAUUGCAGAAUUCAGUGAAUCAUCGAAUCUUUGAACGCACAUUGCGCCCGCCAGUAUUCUGGCGGGCAUGCCUGUUCGAGCGUCAUUUCAACCCUCAAGCCCUCGGGUUUGGUGUUGGGGAUCGGCGAGCCUUUCUGGCAAGCCGGCCCCGAAAUCUAGUGGCGGUCUCGCUGCAGCCUCCAUUGCGUAGUAGUAAAACCCUCGCAACUGGAACGCGGCGCGGCCAAGCCGUUAAACCCCCAACUUCUGGAUGUUGACCUCGGAUCAGGUAGGAAUACCCGCUGAACUUAAGCAUAUCAAUAAGCGGAGGA
rnacentral:misc_RNA from 1 species